rnacentral:rRNA from 1 species
AGGCCUAACACAUGCAGUCGAACGGUAACAGUCCCGCUUGCGGGAGCUGACGAGUGGCGCACGGGUGCGUAACGCGUAUGCAAUCUACCUUCAACUGGGGGAUAGCCCGAAGAAAUUCGGAUUAAUACUCCAUAGUAUAAAGAAUUCGCAUGUUUUCUUUAUUAAAACUCCGGUGGUUGAAGAUGAGCAUGCGUCCUAUUAGUUAGUUGGUGAGGUAACGGCUCACCAAGACUCCGAUAGGUAGGGGGUCUGAGAGGAUGAUCCCCCACACUGGUACUGAGACACGGACCAGACUCCUACGGGAGGCAGCAGUGAGGAAUAUUGGACAAUGGACGAAAGUCUGAUCCAGCCAUGCCGCGUGCAGGAAGACUGCCCUCUGGGUUGUAAACUGCUUUUAUAAGGGAAUAAACCCCCCGAUUCUUCGGGGGCUGAAUGUACCUUACGAAUAAGGACCGGCUAACUCCGUGCCAGCAGCCGCGGUAAUACGGAGGGUCCAAGCGUUAUCCGGAUUUAUUGGGUUUAAAGGGUCCGUAGGUGGGAUCAUAAGUCAGCGGUGAAAUCUUUCGGCUUAACCGGAAAAUUGCCGUUGAUACUGUGGUUCUUGAGUAUGCUCGAUGUAGGCGGAAUAUGUCAUGUAGCGGUGAAAUGCAUAGAUAUGACAUAGAACACCGAUAGCGAAGGCAGCUUACAAGCGCAUAACUGACACUGAGGGACGAAAGCGUGGGGAGCGAACAGGAUU